ensembl:lncRNA
AUGCUAUACAGUAUGUCCUUGUUGAUUAUACAUUUUAAAUAUAGCAGUGUGUACACGUCCAUCCCAAACUCCCUAACAAUCCCUUCCACUCCCCUUCUUAUCUAAAGUGCCACAUGAUUCGCUGUGCUUGUGGGCGGGCACAGAAUCUGGGCAGUGUUCAGGUAGGUCAGAAACAGGUCAGAGGCCUGAUACUCUCCUGCUUCUGAAGCCUGAACAAGACUUCUUCCAUUUUAAUUUCCUUAACAAGUCACUCCUCUUUUUUGUAACUGUAGCAUAAGUAUCCUCUCUUCUAUCAAUCCAAUCAAAGCCCACUUCUUGAAGGCAUUUGAUAUUUUUUCUUAAGAAUUCAGUUGUAUCUUCAGCCAAUUAAAUGCAAGAUGCACAUAAAACAAAUCUCAGCACUUAAAUUAUCUUAAAAAAUAUAUCAGUUUCUGAAAUAUGAUAAGUGAAAUAUUUUUACAAUGUCCACAUCAGUGGGAAAAACUCUAUAAGUUGCUUUCAAGUCUGGGUCUGCACAAGAACAAGGGGAUUGAACUUGGGUGCAGGACUGUAGCUAUGCCAUAGUGUUAUCUGAAUGAUGGAAAGUGCACAGACCUUUUUAAAAAUGGGAGAAAAAGGAAGAGGUUCACCAUAUCUGAACUUCAGGAAGUGAAUGAAGCUAAAUAUUAGAGGCAAGUGGUCUUUAAACCCAUUGGUUAGAGGUUUCAAGGUACAAGUUAGAAGCUUGUGUUUUCUUGUUUGUUCAUUUUUUGCCCUUGGGUUUAAGUUCAUUUAAUCUGUUUCACCUUGGAGUUGUUACCAACCAGGGUUCCUGGCCUUCCUUAAUCAAUAGAAAUUGAUAAAAGUCCAGACAAAAAAUUGAGGCAAGGCUGUAUUGUGGCUCCUGUGGCAGCAGGAGGGAGUGUAAACAAUAAUAGAUUCCCUUGCUCCCUCCCUAAGAUGGGACAAACUGGUUCUUUAUAUGGAGUAAGGGUAGCAGCAGGUCCAGGGGUCAGGUCAGAGGGAUGGCUUAGGUGGCUUCCCCACCCCUUAG